GAUUUCAGCUGAAAAAGUCAUCAAUAACAAAGUUGUAUAACUUAUGAAGAUCUAUAACUUCUAUCUUGGUUAUUUCUUCAUCUGACAAAAUGAUGGUAACAUUUGUUCAAAAUUUACAUUUCUCUCUCUUAUAGUUUAUAAAACUAUAUAAGAAAUAUGUAUAUUUUGUGAACAAUCUUACAAAUCACUUUGUCGGAUGAAGAAAUGACCAGAAUAAAAGUUAUAGAUUUUGAUAAGUUAUACCACUUUGUUAUAGAUGACUUUUUCAAUUGAAAUC
rnacentral:pre_miRNA from 1 species